GCGCCCUGAAAACUUGAUUUAACCCGAGUUCCUGACGUUGUCCUCAGUGGGGCUGCCAUUGGUGACAUCCUGGGAGCCUUCGGUGUCUUGCACCCCCUGUGCCUUGUGGGGACAGGCUGAACCCCAUAGGAAGGCCGCGCUGAGUGGGUGUCUGUGGCCGGCCACAGGAGCUUGGAAGCUCGGAGCGGCUCCAGGUGGUGGGGUCCUGGGGUCAGAUUUGCUGGGGCCGGGACGCUGGCCAGGCCUUCGCGCGGCCCGCUGGUUCGCAGAGCAUUUCCUCCUCUAGGACGGAGGUUCCUUUGCGGCUUUGGACUGUACCAGCUGAGUGGUUUCUCUCCCUCUUCCUGCUCCUGUUUCUCCUCGUCUUCCUUCUCCUAGUGCAAGACUCUUCUUCGGUGCCACUGCCCGCCUUCCUGGUGGCCGGAGGAAGCCUGGCCUUUGGGACACUCCUGUGCAUCGGCGUCGUCCUGAGGUUCAAGAAGACGUGGACGCUGCACACGCUGAAGGAAGGCAAGGCGAGCGUGCACCCGCCGUACUCGCUGGGACAGCUGGUCCCCGAGAGGCCCAAGCCCACCCCGGUUUUGGUGCCCCUCAUCUCCCCGCCGGUGUCCCCCAGCAGCCUCGGGUCUGACAGCACCUCGAGGCACAGCCGACCGGAUGCCAGGGGCCCACAGAGCCCUUACGACAUCAGCAACAGAGACUACUUCUUCCCCAGAUAGCGGCGGGCGGGCUGCCAGGCCCUCCGAGCCUCGUGAGUGACGAAGCACAAACUGGCUCAGCUCAGGUGCCGGGGCCUCACGGAAGGUGCUUCACUUCCCGAAACAGGGUUGGCUGCCUCUGUCCAGAAGGAAGAGGUGGCUGAGUCUUGGAACCACCCUUUCCCAAGUGCCUAAAGGGGUCGACCCCCGGAGGAGGCAGGUCACCAUCGUGCUGAACACUCAGGUGGACGAGCUGCCGGCCACCCACGCAGCCAGACUCCUCUGUGCGAGCGAGCGGCAGCCUGCGCCAGGCGGGACGGAUUUCCAGCCGAGAUUCCCCGGGCACCUGGCCUGCCGAGCAGCUCCACCUUCCAGCCUCAGUUCUUGGAGCCCGCGUGCCUUGGCAGUUCAGCCUUUCCAGGCCUGAGGAUGGGAGAAGCACCUGCCUUUCUUCCCCACACCUGAAAAUAGCACAGCGGGUCGCCUAGUAUCUCAGGGCCUGGUGGUUUGAAAUGGAAUUGUAAUUAGUUCCUCAUUAGCAUUUUGCUAAAUGUGAAUGGCGAUCCCAGGCACUUGCUGAAUCCAGAGCAGGUGCGCUGGCUCGACUUCCCUCUUUGGAUCCCAGGACUUCAGGAGGAGAGAAGCAGAGAAGAGAGGGGACGGUCGUGGGGAGACAGGCCUCCGUGUCCUCCCCAGGGGUGGCACUGCCCGGGGACCCGGCCUCUGGAAGCCAGCUUCCCUGUCUCCCCACCCUGCUCCCCGACGAGGAGGACUGGCAGGGGCUUCUGCCGGGGGCGGGGGGGGGUCGCAACUGCUGUUCUUCUUCCUUGUUUUCAGCUGAGCCUGAGAAACAAGGGAAGAUAAUGUUUAUGUGAAAAGACAAAGAACCCGGCAAGAAUGUAUUUUAACUUGUUUUUCUUAAAAAAACCCCCCAAAACUGCUGUUUUAUCUUCGAGGGUGGGAGGGCCAGUAUUCGCUGAGUGUCAGUAUAUGAGUAACUUGGGGGAAAAGCACAAUAACCUUGUUUAGCACAAAAUUGAGUCAAGUGAAAAAGGAGGAGAAAAGAUAAUUUUCCUUUUAGAGCAGAGAGUCUGGUUUCAUUCUACAUCUUGUUUUUGUCUUAAAAAGUGAGAACAUAGUCUGUCUCCUUUAACCUGGGGAAAGCAGCUGCUUACCCCGCCAGGCCGGGGCAGCGGAGAGGGUGUCCGGCCCCCACCCCCGAGCCCUUGGUUGUGGGAGGGGGCUCCCUACAGAGUCCCCCACCGCGGGGUCCUCUUAGUUCCUCGAUUUGAUUCAGCCCAGCUAGGAUCAGAGCACCCACGGACUGUGGCCACGUGGCCUCACCAGCGCCCUCGUGGCGAGUCCGGGCUUUGACAGUUCAGGGAUGCGUGUGGUCACCCAAACGAGGGCCCUCGAGCAGCACGGGGUGUCCCAGAAUGAAGCUGUGGUUUACAGGCAGCCUCGUAACCACCGCUGAACAUUUACCAGACCACAGACUUUUCUAGUAGCCUGCUUUUUUAGACAGACAACCACCAGCACCAGACAGGUGGUGAGAGGAUGAAAAUGACCGGUGUCCUUACCGGUUGCCAGGGUCAGGCUGCGCUGCCCGAGUCCGUAAAUCUCAGGCCCUGUUGCUGCUCUAGGCAACUAGUCUUCAGUUGACCGAAGUUAGGCAGGUGUCUUUUGUUGUUGUUUUUCUCUAAAGUUUCUUUGAGAACAGCAAAAAUGCCAUUAAAGGGAAAUAUGCAAAACGAGAAUGUGCAUGAGAAAGGUCUUUACCUCUUGGCGAGGUUAGGUUUUACUGGAGCCGAGAUGGUGGAAGAUGGACGGGCAGAUAGCAGGCAGCGCCUGGCUGCUGAGAGCUGCCAGCUUUGAUCUCCCAACUGUUACUGCUUUCAUUAUUAUUGUAAUGAAACUGCCUUUUUUUUUUUUCCUGUAUUGGAGAGGGUUUUUUUCCCUUUAUGUCUAUAUAAGCUAGUGAAAAUGAAGGAAGAGGGUUUUUCUGUGGGCUGCAGGCUGUGCCCUGUGAGCUCAGGUGCACCGCUAAGCUCUGUGCUCAAAUCCGCGGGCCGUGAGCGCGCUCCUACCUGAGGUCACCGCCCCUGGGUCCGGCAGGGCACCUGUUGCCUGUCCUCCUCGGCAGAUGUUACCCACCUGGCCUGCAGCACAGCCAGACCGAGAGGACAGCUCCUCCUGCUGGGUGGGAAAAGCUGGUUUUUCAGCUUUUCAGGGUCUAAAUGUGCUCAGUAAUUCUUGUAGCAUUAAUGAAAACUUUCUUGAAAUGUCAAGGGGGUAGCAUUGAAUGGACCUACGAAGCCUUCGGUGACCCCGAGAGCUCUUUGUUCUGACGAGGUCUUGCCCUUGAGGCCUGUUUGCCGGGCUCUGGGCUCACAGAGCCUCUGCCAGUUCCCUGCUAUCCUGGGGGCGGGACACCUUGAUAAGGGUUCGGGAGCCCACCUGGUGGUGAGCAGAGCCGUGUGGGGUAGGCUGGGCCUGGUCAUGGUUUCUGGGCUUCCUGCAGAACGUUCAGGAUCGUCUUGCCUCUUCAAAGGUACUGAAGGUUGACUCACUUGGGGAAGAGUCUGUCCUCCAGUUUCAGGUGGAGUUGGUGAGAAAUGGGUCUUCAUCUGGAGAAGCAGGGGUCACGGGGGGCCCUUCAGAGGCCACGCCAGCUUUCUCACGUGGCAGGUGGCAGUGGGGCUGUUGUUGGGAGGCAGGCCAGCUGGUUCGGCGUCUGUCCCCCACGUGUCCCCUGCGUCCCUCCAGCAUCACGUCCUCCGUGUGGCCUGGUGGCAGAGCCGGGGAGUUUCUAUGACAACCUUACUGAUUAUUAAAGAACGCUGUCGGUUUUAUGAACAUGUGCUCGGAUGAAGGUCUGCUGUAGAAAGAGCACGUAGCAAGGCUGUGAAUUAGCAGAGACACCACGUUUGGAUGGGGAUCACACACCCGUUAAGUACAAUACCUCAGCUUUUUUGGAGAAAAAUGUUUUAAUUUUUGUUUUUAUUUUUUACCUAAUUACCUGAAAGCAAAUACCAAAGGCUGAUGUCUGUAUGUGGGGCAAAGGGUCAGUAUAAUGUUUUUCAGUAUUUUUCUUUUUAUCAGCUAUUUUCCAUUCGAAGUGAAAAUUGUAAAUGUUUGAAAUAAAUAAUUUCUAAAAAUGUG